rnacentral:rRNA from 1 species
UACGUAGGGUGCAAGCGUUAAUCGGAAUUACUGGGCGUAAAGCGUGCGCAGGCGGUUUCGUAAGUCUGUCGUGAAAUCCCCGGGCUUAACCUGGGAAUGGCGAUGGAGACUGUGAGGCUAGAGUUUGGCAGAGGGGGGUAGAAUUCCACGUGUAGCAGUGAAAUGCGUAGAGAUGUGGAGGAACACCGAUGGCGAAGGCAGCCCCCUGGGUCAAAACUGACGCUCAUGCACGAAAGCGUGGGGAGCAAACAGG